AUGCCUUCCCCGCCCUCGUCCGCCGUCAUCAUCCUCAGCGACAGCGACGACGACGACGACGCGGCCGCCCUCUUGCUGAUCGCCGCCGAGCGCUUCACCUCGUCCCUGACCACCGAAGCCGAAGUGCAGGCCCUCUGCGAGAAGCACGGCGUCCCGGGGAAGCUCGCCGCGCUCCCCGCCGGCGACCGGCGCGCGUGCUCGCCGCCCCCGGCGCGGGCCGUCUGCGUGUACGCGCACGCGCACGCGCUGGAGGCCGGGGUGCGCUUCCCGCUCCCCGCCUUCUUCUGCCAGACGCUCUCCCACUUCGACCUCGCGCCCGGCCAGCUCACGCCCGACGGGUGGCGCGUCCUGGUCGGCUUCCUCGCGCUCUGCCACGACGCCUCCGUCCCGCCGUCGGUCGCCGUGUUCCGCCAUUUCUUCUCGCUCCGAAGCAGGAAGGGCUGGUACUGCUUCCGGUGCAAGGAAGGUGCCGGCGCGCUGGUUACUGGCCUGGGCAGUUCCGAAUCCGACGGAGAGUGA
rnacentral:rRNA from 1 species